GCCAGCAUGGAUUAGUGAUUUGAAUGUUGGUCUAUGGCUCCAGAGACCAGGGUUCAAAUCCCCAUUCAGCCA